UCUGUUACUCCACAUGCAUGAGUAAAUAUAUCAAUGCAAACCCAGCUGCCAUAUUUCCUAUUUAAACAACUGAGCAAAGGAGUGUUCAAUCUGAAGAGGAGAAACAAUGUUCUCCCUAAAGCUCUUUCUGCUGUUGGCAACCGCACACAGUAUUGACUCUCAGGUUGUGCUCACACAGUCUGAACAGUCAGUAGUUGUGACUCCAGGUGGUUCCCGCAAACUGACCUGUGCCUGCAGUGGAUUCACUCUUAGUGGCUAUAGGAUGCACUGGAUCCGCCAGGCACCUGGAAAAGGACUUGAAUGGAUCUUGCACUAUUAUACAGACUCUGACAAAGGCUCAGCUCAGUCAGUGCAGGGCAGGUUCACAGCAUCUAAGGACAGCUCUAAUUUCUAUCUGCACAUGAAUCAGCUGAAGACUGAAGACACUGCGGUGUAUUACUGUGCAACAGAUACACUGUGGAAACACUAAUACAGACAGCUGUUCA